rnacentral:rRNA from 1 species
CCUACGGGAGGCAGCAGUAGGGAAUAUUGCUCAAUGGGGGAAACCCUGAAGCAGCAACGCCGCGUGGAGGAUGAAGGUUUUCGGAUUGUAAACUCCUUUUGUUAGAGAAGAUAAUGACGGUAUCUAACGAAUAAGCACCGGCUAACUCCGUGCCAGCAGCCGCGGUAAUACGGAGGGUGCAAGCGUUACUAGGAAUCACUGGGCGUAAAGAGCGCGUAGGCGGGAUAGCAAGUCAGAUGUGAAAUCCUAAUGCUUAAACAUAGAACUGCAUUUGAAACUGUUAUUCUAGAGUAUGGGAGAGGUUAGUGGAAUUCUUGGUGUAGGGGUAAAAUCCGUAGAGAUCCAGGGGAAUACUCGUUGCGGAGGCGACC